rnacentral:rRNA from 1 species
UACGGGGGGGGCAAGCGUUGUUCGGAAUUACUGGGCGUAAAGGGCUCGUAGGCGGCCAACUAAGUCAGACGUGAAAUCCCCGGGCUCAACCUGGGAACUGCAUUCAAAACUGACAAGCUAGAGUAUGGUAGAGGGUGGUGGAAUUUCCUGUGUAGCGGUGAAAUGCGUAGAUAUAGGAAGGAACACCAGUGGCGAAGGCGACCACCUGGACUGAUACUGACACUGAGGUGCGAAAGCGUGGGGAGCAAACAGG